rnacentral:lncRNA from 1 species
GUGAAAGCCAAUUUUCUUCCUGUUAGAGCCGGAACAUUUAUUUUCUCCUGCCCUCAGACGUUGGUGCUCCUUGUUCUUGGACCUUCCAACUUGGACUGAAUUACACCGCUGGUUUUCCUGAUUCUCCAGGUUGCAGGUGGCAGGUUAUAGGACUUCUCGGCCUCUAUAAUCACGCUAUUUGGAAGAAUGCGAUUCAGGUACUUCCAGUCAGAUACAUCCGUGCAAGACUUGGAUAGAGAAGUAACAUAAGGAGGCAGCUGUGGGAAGACUGACCAUCUGCUUUGUGCCUGGAUACUAGCAGGAAGGAAGAGGAGGAGCAAGAAUGGAAGGCUUGUACCAACAAGUUCUUAUCCUUUUUAAUGAGGAAAACAAGAGCAUCCCUAUUCUGCUCUUAUCUCACCGAGUUCCAUGGCCAUUCUGAGCUGCAGUGGAGUCUUGGGAGGACAUUUGGCUGGAUUCAAAGAACUUUGAAGCCCAAGGGGAUGGAGGAACCACGGGAUGGAAGGUGCCUGAAUCCUGAAUGACUGUGUGGACAGUUUAUAAACAUUUGGGCAGUGCCAUCUCUAUCACAUAAAUUUAUUUUGUCUUCUUUUAUUUCUUCUUACCUUCCCAUGAUUUUCCUGGGUGAAUGGCUAAUUAGAAGAGUAAGAUGAGGUAGAGGGUGGAAUAGAGAGAUUGUAAAUUCUGCUUUGGGGAUAUUAAUCUGAGUUGUGUGUGAGAUGUUCAAGUGAAGAUGUCAAGCAAAAAUUUAGAUAUUUGCACCCCAGUGUGGUGGCUCACACCUGUAAUACCAGUACUUUGAGAGGCUGAGGCGGGUGGAUCACUAGAGGUCAGGAGUUGGACACCAUCCUGACAAACAUGUUGAAACCCUGUCUCCACUAAAAAUACAAAAAUUAGCCGGGCGUGGUUAUGGGUGCCUGUAAUCCCAGCUACUUGGGAGGCUGAGGCAGGAGAAUCGCUUGAACCUAGGAGGCAGAGGUUGCAGUGAGCCAAGAUCAUGCCAUUGCACUCCAGCCUGGGCAAUAAGAGCAAAACUUGUCUCAAAAAAAAUUUAGAUAUUUGCCUAUGGAUUUCAGAGGAGAAAUGCGGCAAGAGCAAAAGUUUCAGAGUCAAUAACCUAAUACUUGCAUUUAGCUCCAAAAGAAUUGUUGAAAUUAUAUAGGGAAAGAGGGUAGAGAAUAAAGAAGUGCCUGAAGUUGAGACUUAAGAUUCCUCAACAUUUAGAGUUUGAGUAGGAAUGGAGUUCAAGAAAGAGCAGAAGGAAAAGUAGAAGGGAUAUCAGGAGAGCAUGAGGUCAGAGAAGCCAAGAGAGAAAUAUUGUGCAAGAUGGAAGAUGUGGCCACCAUUAUGAGUUCUACUGACUGGUAAAGUAACCGUGGGAGCCAUCAGUGGCCUUGACAAGAGACAUUUCCUGGGAUGAUGGUUGGAACCUAGACUAGAGCAGAUUGAGGAGACAACCAGUAGUAAGGCUACAGAGAAAAGGGAACACUUACACACUGUUGGUGGGAAUGUAAAUUGGUUCAUCCACUGUGGAAAACAGUUUGGAGAUUUCUCAAAGAACUUAAAACAGAACUACCAUUUGACUCAGCAAUCCCAUUACUGGGUAUAUAUCCAAAGAAAAUAAAUCAUCCUAACAAAAAGACGCAUUUUCUCAUAUGUUCAUCACAAUACUAUUCACAAUACCAAAGACAUAGAAUCAACCUAAUACUCAUCAACAGUGGAUUGGAAAAAGAAAAUGUAGUAAUAUAUACCAUGAAGUACCACAGAGCCAUAAAAAAGAAUGAAAUCAUGUCCUUUGCAGCAACAUGGAUAGAGCUGGAGGCCAUUAUCCUAAGUGAAUUAUGCAGGAGCAGAACACCAACUAUCACAUAUUCUCAUUUAUAAGGGGGAGCUAAACAUUAGGUUCUCAUAGACAUAAAGAUGGCAAUAAUAGACACUGAAGACUACUGGAGGGAGGGGGUGAAAGGGGGAAGAGUUGAAAAACUAACUGUUGGGUACUAUACUCUGUACUGGGCGAUGGGAUCAUCUGUAUCCUAAACUUCAACAUCAUGCAAUAUAACCUAAUAACAAAUCUGCACUCCCUGAACCUAAA